rnacentral:rRNA from 1 species
CGGUGGAGCAUGUAGGUUUAUCGAAGCAACGCGAAGAACCUUACCGAGGCCUUGACAUGCGUAGGGAACCCGGGUGAAAGCCUGGGGUGCCCCGCGAGGGGAGCCCUAGCACAGGUGCUGCAUGGCCGUCGUCAGCUCGUGCCGUGAGGUGUUGGGUUAAGUCCCGCAACGAGCGCAACCCCCGCCGUUAGUUGCCAGCGGUUCGGCCGGGCACUCUAACGGGACUGCCCGCGAAAAGCGGGAGGAAGGAGGGGACGACGUCUGGUCAGCAUGGCCCUUACGGCCUGGGCGACACACGUGCUACAAUGCCCACUACAAAGCGAGGCCACCCGGCAACGGGGAGCUAAUCGCAAAAAGGUGGGCCCAGUUCGGAUUGGGGUCUGCAACCCGACCCCAUGAAGCCGGAAUCGCUAGUAAUCGCGGAUCAGCCAUGCCGCGGUGAAUACGUUCCCGGGCCUU